AUUGAACGCUGGCGGCAUGCUUUACACAUGCAAGUCGAACGGUAACAGGCCUUCGGGUGCUGACGAGUGGCGAACGGGUGAGUAAUGCAUCGGAACGUACCCAGAGGUGGGGGAUAACGCAGCGAAAGCUGUGCUAAUACCACAUGUGAUCUGAGGAUGAAAGCGGGGGACCGAGCAGCAAUGUUUGGCCUCGCGCCUUUGGAGCGGCCGAUGUCGGAUUAGCUAGUUGGUGGGGUAAAGGCCUACCAAGGCGACGAUCCGUAGCUGGUCUGAGAGGACGACCAGCCACACUGGGACUGAGACACGGCCCAGACUCCUACGGGAGGCAGCAGUGGGGAAUUUUGGACAAUGGGCGCAAGCCUGAGCCAGCAAUGCCGCGUGCGGGAAGAAGGCCUUCGGGUUGUAAACCGCUUUUGGCAGGAACGAAACGGUGUCCGCUAAUACCGGGCGCUAAUGACGGUACCUGCAGAAUAAGCACCGGCUAACUACGUG
rnacentral:rRNA from 1 species